UGAUUUGCUUUUCCAAUAGGCACAUACACAAUAAAACCAUUGCUCAAGAGUUUUACAAAUGCCUUUUGGAAAUUGGGAAAAGGUGUCUUUGGGAUUCAUAUGAGUUUUGGGUUUCAAUUAUUUAAUUUAUUUUUACUCUAAUUUUAUGCUUGUGUCUGUGUGUUUAUGUGAUUUAUAAACUUCUUCAGAUGAACUAGGUUAUUGUGUUUUUCUUUUGUGUGGUGAAAGAGAAGCAUAUGCACAUCCAUCGAUCAUAGCGAAUCUUGCAUUUGCAAAUAGUUGUAAUUACUCUCUCUCUCUUACAAGGGUCAAUUGUUCACCAUUCCCAAUGACUUUACAUCAUUGGUUCUCUCCUAGUUUACAUCGUUUAUGCAACGGACAUUCUGUGUGAAUAAUGACAUGGAUCAUUGACCCAUAAUUGAAAGGUACUUCUUUUGUUUUAUCAUAAAAUCUAUCUUGCAGUAGCCAGCAACCUUAAUGCUUACUGCUCUUUUUGUUGUUGCACGAGCAUGCAACUUGGAGGAGUUAUUACCUGCUCUAGCACAGAGUUGUUCAGAUGGAGUUUUUUAAACAGCUUGAAGCAAAGAUCUAGUUCCAGCUGACUUAAGGACUAUAAUCAUAAAAGGAUGAUACUA
rnacentral:misc_RNA from 1 species